UGGGGAAUUUUGGACAAUGGGCGCAAGCCUGAUCCAGCAAUGCCGCGUGAGUGAAGAAGGCCCUUGGGUUGUAAAGCUCUUUCGGUCGGGAAGAAGGAAGGAUGGCUAAUACCCAUUCUGACAGACGGUACCGGCAUAAGAAGCACCGGCUAACUACGUGCCAGCAGCCGCGGUAAUACGUAGGGUGCAAGCGUUAAUCGGAAUGACUGGGCGUAAAGGGUGUGUAGGCGGUUUAUUAAGUCUGAUGUGAAAGCCCCGGGCUCAACCUGGGAACUGCGUUGGAUACUGGUAAACUAGAGUACGUAAGAGGGGGGUGGAAUUCCACGUGUAGCAGUGAAAUGCGUAGAGAUGUGGAGGAACACCGAUGGCGAAGGCAGCCCCCUGGGACGAUACUGACGCU
rnacentral:rRNA from 1 species